GGCGGAAGAGGUUCAGACGGUGGAGGUGGAGGGGAUAAUGGUAGGUCAGAGUUUAACAAUCACCAUGGAAGCAAUAGCACCGAUGCUUAUUAUCAGAAGAUGAUUGAAGCGAACCCUAACAAUGCUCUUCUACUUGGAAAUUAUGCCAAGUUCUUGAAAGAGGUCCAUGGAGAUUUUGCCAAAGCAGAAGAGUUUUGUGGAAGGGCAAUUCUGGCUGACCCAAAUGAUGUAAGUGUUCUAUCGCUUUAUGCUGAUCUAAUUUGGCGUACACAGAGGGAUGCUCAACGAGCUGAAACCUAUUUUGAUCAAGCUGUUAAAAGUUCGCCAGAUGAUUGCUAUCUCCUAGCUUCAUAUGCACGGUUUCUCUGGGAUACCGAUGUCGAUGAAGAAGACGAUAUGGUAAACCAGUAUGAAACAGAGGAAAGUCACCCAUCGCUGCCCGGUUACUCUCAUGGAGCUCCUCACCAUUCUCCUCUGGCUGCAGCUUCCUAAUCUCAUCAAAUAUGUAACACACUACUUGCCACUGUAAGAUGACUUCAAUAAAAAGCAUCAGCUCAC
rnacentral:misc_RNA from 1 species